GAUGAAGAACGUAGCGAAAUGCGAUAAGUAAUGUGAAUUGCAGAAUUUAGUGAAUCAUCGAAUCUUUGAACGCACAUUGCGCCCUCUGGUAUUCCGGGGGGCAUGCCUGUUCGAGCGUCAUUAUAACCACUCAAGCUCUCGCUUGGUAUUGGGGUUCGCGGUUCCGCGGCCCCUAAAAUCAGUGGCGGUGCCUGUCGGCUCUACGCGUAGUAAUACUCCUCGCGAUUGAGUCCGGUAGGUCUACUUGCCAGCAACCCCCAAUUUUUACAGGUUGACCUCGGAUCAGGUAGGGAUACCCGCUGAACUUAAGCAUAUCAAUAAGCGGAGGA
rnacentral:misc_RNA from 1 species